rnacentral:rRNA from 1 species
UUUAUUAUGAGAGUUUGAUCCUGGCUCAGGACGAACGCUGGCGGCGUGCCUAAUACAUGCA